GUUGCUGCCGGCAGACUACACAUGCAGUCGAGCGGUAGCACAGAGAGCUUGCUCUCGGGUGACGAGCGGCGGACGGGUGAGUAAUGUCUGGGAAACUGCCUGAUGGAGGGGGAUAACUACUGGAAACGGUAGCUAAUACCGCAUAAUGUCGCAAGACCAAAGUGGGGGACCUUCGGGCCUCAUGCCAUCAGAUGUGCCCAGAUGGGAUUAGCUAGUAGGUGGGGUAACGGCUCACCUAGGCGACGAUCCCUAGCUGGUCUGAGAGGAUGACCAGCCACACUGGAACUGAGACACGGUCCAGACUCCUACGGGAGGCAGCAGUGGGGAAUAUUGCACAAUGGGCGCAAGCCUGAUGCAGCCAUGCCGCGUGUGUGAAGAAGGCCUUCGGGUUGUAAAGCACUUUCAGCGGGGAGGAAGGCGAUAAGGUUAAUAACCUUGUCGAUUGACGUUACCCGCAGAAGAAGCACCGGCUAACUCCGUGCCAGCAGCCGCGGUAAUACGGAGGGUGCAAGCGUUAAUCGGAAUUACUGGGCGUAAAGCGCACGCAGGCGGUCUGUCAAGUCGGAUGUGAAAUCCCCGGGCUCAACCUGGGAACUGCAUUCGAAACUGGCAGGCUAGAGUCUUGUAGAGGGGGGUAGAAUUCCAGGUGUAGCGGUGAAAUGCGUAGAGAUCUGGAGGAAUACCGGUGGCGAAGGCGGCCCCCUGGACAAAGACUGACGCUCAGGUGCGAAAGCGUGGGGAGCAAACAGGAUUAGAUACCCUGGUAGUCCACGCCGUAAACGAUGUCGAUUUGGAGGUUGUGCCCUUGAGGCGUGGCUUCCGGAGCUAACGCGUUAAAUCGACCGCCUGGGGAGUACGGCCGCAAGGUUAAAACUCAAAUGAAUUGACGGGGGCCCGCACAAGCGGUGGAGCAUGUGGUUUAAUUCGAUGCAACGCGAAGAACCUUACCUGGUCUUGACAUCCACAGAACUUAGCAGAGAUGCUUUGGUGCCUUCGGGAACUGUGAGACAGGUGCUGCAUGGCUGUCGUCAGCUCGUGUUGUGAAAUGUUGGGUUAAGUCCCGCAACGAGCGCAACCCUUAUCCUUUGUUGCCAGCGGUUCGGCCGGGAACUCAAAGGAGACUGCCAGUGAUAAACUGGAGGAAGGUGGGGAUGACGUCAAGUCAUCAUGGCCCUUACGACCAGGGCUACACACGUGCUACAAUGGCAUAUACAAAGAGAAGCGACCUCGCGAGAGCAAGCGGACCUCAUAAAGUAUGUCGUAGUCCGGAUUGGAGUCUGCAACUCGACUCCAUGAAGUCGGAAUCGCUAGUAAUCGUAGAUCAGAAUGCUACGGUGAAUACGUUCCCGGGCCUUGUACACACCGCCCGUCACACCAUGGGAGUGGGUUGCAAAAGAAGUAGGUAGCUUAACCUUCGGGAGGGCGCUUACCACUUUGAUCAGUGCC
rnacentral:rRNA from 1 species